UCCCAAUGUUUUUGUUCUUUGAGGCCAUACAAGCCUUUUGAUUCAUUUAACGUUAGGUCAAAUCUUCACAACAAAUCUUUUUCUGAGGGAGCUGCAAAAUAUCCACAAAAAACUUGCCAUAACGAGGAAGAAACCUUGGCUGGGAGAAACAACUUCUCUCGCGUUACUUUUUAGUUGCACUCCAGGCCUGUAGAGGGCGUGACGUCACAGCGCUCAUAAGCGUCACUUCUUCGCGUUGCGCUUGUGCUUCUCGUUUCUCUCUCUGACCUCUGUGGACGGAGAGCGGUCCUUAACUCCAGUGAAAUGGCUCCUCCAGUGCAAGUGUCGCCGCUGAUUAAGACAGCCAGGUGGUCUGCAUUGCUCAUUGGCAUUCUCUACGGAAAGCGUAGAUAUGAUAAUCUGAAACCAAUUGCAGAGGAGGAGAGGAGAAUUGAAGAGGAGGAGAAGAAGGUACGAGAGGAGAAGGAACGCAUUGCUAAACAGCUUGCAGAAGCUAAUGAGGACACAAUCUUGAAGUGAGCUGCCCAAAGUUAUGCCUGUAUUGCUAAUAUUGUAAAGAUCUUGUUACCUGUCUUGAUAAAGAAUGAUGCUUGUAUUCUGCCA